rnacentral:rRNA from 1 species
CCUACGGGUGGCAGCAGUAGGGAAUCUUCCACAAUGGGCGAAAGCCUGAUGGAGCAACGCCGCGUGGGUGAAGAAGGUCUUCGGAUCGUAAAACCCUGUUGUUAGAGAAGAAAGUGCGUGAGAGUAACUGUUCACGUUUCGACGGUAUCUAACCAGAAAGCCACGGCUAACUACGUGCCAGCAGCCGCGGUAAUACGUAGGUGGCAAGCGUUAUCCGGAUUUAUUGGGCGUAAAGGGAACGCAGGCGGCAUGUAAAGUCAGGUGUUAAAGGCGCAGGCUCAACCUGUGUAUGGCAGUUGAUACUUGCAAGCUGGAAUGCGGUAGAGGUAAAGGGAAUGCCUGGUGUAGCGGUGAAAUGCUUAGAUAUCAGGAGGAACAUCGGUGGCGUAAGCGCUUUACUGGGCCGUAAUUGACGCUGAGGAACGAAAGCCAGGGUAGCAAAUGGGAUUAGAUACCCUGGUAGUC